rnacentral:rRNA from 1 species
AGUGAACGCUGGCGGUAGGCCUAACACAUGCAAGUCGAACGGCAGCACAGUAAGAUCUUGCUCUUACGGGUGGCGAGUGGCGGACGGGUAAGGAAUACAUCGCAAUCUACUAUUUCGUGGGGGAUAACGUAGGGCAACUUACGCUAAUGCCGCAUACGUCCUACGGGUGAAAGCAUGGGAUAAUCCGACCUUGCGCGUUUGAAUGAGUCGAUGUCGGAUUAGCUAGUUGGCUGGGUAAAGGCCCACCAAGGCGACGAUCCGUAGCUGGUCUGAGAGGAUGAUCAGCCACACUGGAACUGAGACACGGUCCAGACUCCUACGGGAGGCAGCAGUGGGGAAUAUUCGGCAAUGGGCGCAAGCCUGAUCGAGCCAUGCCGCGUGAGUGAUGAAGGUCUUCGGGUCGUAAAGCUCUUUUGUUGGGAAAGAAAAGCUGUAUAUGAAUACCUCGCCGUCUUGACGGUACCCAAACAAUAAGCACCGGCUAACUUCGUG